GUCUGCCAUAAAUAAUACAGAACCAGAAAACCUACUUCAAAUAAUCAAAGAAAGAUAUCUGAGCUGAUUAAGUUCUGCCAACCAUGCAAGCUUAGAAAAUCAGGAAAGGAGUAAGUAGAGAAAAUAAAUUUCCAAAGACUAUUAAAUAAGUAUGGAGACGCUU